rnacentral:rRNA from 1 species
AUUGAACGCUGGCGGCAUGCCUUACACAUGCAAGUCGAACGGCAGCACGGGAGCUUGCUCCUGGUGGCGAGUGGCGAACGGGUGAGUAAUACAUCGGAACGUACUCUGAAGUGGGGGAUAACGUAGCGAAAGUUACGCUAAUACCGCAUAUUCUGUGAGCAGGAAAGAGGGGGAUCGCAAGACCUCUUGCUUUAGGAGCGGCCGAUGUCGGAUUAGCUAGUUGGUGAGGUAAAGGCUCACCAAGGCGACGAUCCGUAGCGGGUCUGAGAGGAUGAUCCGCCACACUGGGACUGAGACACGGCCCAGACUCCUACGGGAGGCAGCAGUGGGGAAUUUUGGACAAUGGGCGCAAGCCUGAUCCAGCCAUGCCGCGUGAGUGAAGAAGGCCUCGGUUGUAAGACUCUUCGU